UACGUAGGGUGCAAGCGUUGUCCGGAAUUAUUGGGCGUAAAGAGCUCGUAGGCGGUCUGUCACGUCGGCUGUGAAAUCCCGAGGCUCAACCUCGGGUCUGCAGUCGAUACGGGCAAACUAGAGUAUUGCAGGGGAGACUGGAAUUCCUGGUGUAGCGGUGAAAAUGCGCAGAUAUCAGGAGGAACACCGGUGGCGAAGGCGGGUCUCUGGGCAAUAACUGACGCUGAGGAGCGAAAAGCGUGGGGGAGCGAACAGG
rnacentral:rRNA from 1 species